rnacentral:rRNA from 1 species
AUCUAAGCACGAAACUUGCCCCGAGAUGAGUUCUCCCUGACUCCUUGAGAGUCCUGAAGGAACGUUGAAGACGACGACGUUGAUAGGCCGGGUGUGUAAGCGCAGCGAUGCGUUGAGCUAACCGGUACUAAUGAACCGUGAGGCUUAACCUUACAACGCCGAAGCUGUU